CAGAAGUGGCCAAAUAUAUAAUUAGUGAUUAAAAGGACAACUGCCCACUUAAACACGAAGAAUAAGGAAAGGAAGAGAGAAAGACAGAAGGAAGGAAAGAAGAAAGGAAGAGAAGUAGAUGGAUUGCACUGAGAAACAUACCACUCAUUUUUUCUGGUGCCUUUAAUUUGCAAGAUUCAGCAGCUUUGCAGAGUUCAAUGGCAUCCUAUGAUCCCAGAGAAAAGUGAGGGUUUCUCUGUGGCUUUGGAGGCUGUCCUGGAACUAGCUCCUUAAACACCAGGCUAGAAUCAAACAGAGAUCUACCUGCCUCUGCUGCCAGAGUUCUGGGAUUAAAGGUAACCUUCAACUGGAGCUGGCUUACAGUAUCAAAGGCUUAGUACAUUAUCUUCAUGGCAGAGUGCAGGCAGACAUGGAGCUGGAGAAGAGGGUGAGAAUUCUGCAUCUUGAUCCCCAGGCAGCCGAAGCCAUUGCCCGUGAGAUCCAGCUUGAGCCUACAUGAAAUCUCAAAGCCCACCUCCAUAGUGAUAUACUUCCUCCAACAAGGCCAUAAUUCAACGAGGCCACACCUCCUAAUUAAUAGUGCCAUUCACCCUGAGCCAAGCACUCAAACACAUGAGUCGAGGGGCCAUACUUAUUCUAACAACUUCAGUAGGUGUAUCAUUGACUAUAUCCAAUGCGUAAUAACUUGUUAUGAGUUCAUUAUGUAAGUUUUAUUUAAUUUUUGAUUUACAAAGUAGUUACACUGAUUUAUAUGGUAUAGUGUGAUGAUUCCAUUCCUGUUCACAUUAUGUAAUGACCAAACAAGAGCAAUUUUCCCUCCAUCUUCUCAAACACAAGUCAUUUCUCGGUAAUAAUUUCAUCAAUACUUUUUCCAGCUGUCUUCAGCUAUAUAAUAUAUUAAGGUCCAUGAAUUAGUUUUUUUUUCAUUUUAAAAAUGCUACUAUUAAUUCAUUUCAAUUGUAUCUAGAAUGGGGUACAAUACAACCUUUACCCUAAGUAGAUGAUUUAAUGUCACCUGCUUUGUUAUGAUUCUAUUUUCUCAUUUUCUGGGUUUCACAAGUUGAAGAUCGUAUCUCCAACUUAUUACUGCAUUUGUCUAGAGGCACUGUUCUGAUUGAAAUGCCAUUAAUCCUCUGGGAAAUAAAACUAUGGAUUUGAUGGGGAUGCUGCCCACACAUCGUUGAUGGAACCUUUGGCUUUGUUACUGUAGCUGUCAAAAUAAACUCAUAUGAAAUAUGAAAAGACAGACUCCUCAUUUUUAGAUGCCAGAUGCCCUUCUAUAACUCUCAAAGUAUUUUCUAUUCAUCAUAUACAGGAUCUAUAUUUUCUCUAUCACAAGGCUAUGAAGUAAAUACUGUCUAGCAAAUGUGCACAGGUCACAGGCAAAUUUGUUUAUUAGCACAGCACAUGCCUGCCUCAAUCCCAUACAUAGUUAUUUCUAGUAGCAACAUAUAUUUAAGUUUAAUGCAUAUAUUUAUAAUAAUGUGACACUGUCAAUUCUUUCUAAACUGGAAAUUCAUGAUGUCACCACUGUACAUUCUUUCACAUAUGAAUAUAAAAUACUAUUUUCUCUCUGAGUUUGGGAAUAGCAUUAACUAUAUGCCUUUGGGGGCUGGAAAUAAGGAUGAGUCAGUUUAUUUUAUUUUAAUUUAAUCUAUUACUUGAAUGUAAUACAAAUGGAAAUGUAAAUACUGGGCCAAAUUAGUAUACAUAAAAUAAUAAAUUUGUAUGUUCUAAGCGAUUGAUAAUUUUUACUGAUGUACCACUGUUCCAUUUUUAUACUAUAAAUGUAAUUACAUUCUCUUAAAAAUAUUGCAAAUGUUUAUAUUAGAUAAAAAUAAGCAGAAAAUUGAAAAUAAGUUUGAACUUGGGGUCAUCUUUAAUCCAUUAUCAUCUGGUUUGCAUAUUUUGUUUUGUUUUCUUUUGGCAGGUAAACAGUAUAAUAUAAAGUUAUUCAUCUGUGGAAACUAUAAUCUGUGCACUGCUGUUUCUUUGCUGAGCAAACACAUUCUCUGGAUUAGAAUGUGUAUUUGACAUUUUAAUUCACAUUAAAUAGGUUUAGGACAGAAUCGAUAUUGUCAAUCACAUAUCAUUGUCCUGUUUCUUUCUUUUAAAUUUUCUAGAAUUAGACUUGUCUCAUGGUAUCAAUAAGUGAUAAUCACAUUAUUGAAUCAUGUCAGUAUUCUGGGUUAUGCAAAUGAUUAUUGACAACAUCAGAUGAUAUUUGAAACAUGCCUUUUAACAGGUGAAAAAUAAGACAUCUUUGUGGCUUCUGUUAUUCACAAAUGCAUUUUAAUCUGGGAAACUGGUGUUAACUGUUGAUAAGGGUUGGUGAAUAAUGACUACGGAUUUGAUGAAUUAGAUAUGUUCAUUUUCUUAUUUUUAAGAAAUAUGAACCUGAGUUUUCAAUGGCAAGACAGGUAGAAUUGAAGUUUCCACAAAAUGAACCAAUAAUAAAAUAUUCUAUAUAGCAUAUUGGACAUAACAAGAAUCUUUAUUUGAGAUUUUAUCCAGGAUACAUUGUCCUAUUUGAAAAGAACAAUACAAGUAAAAGAGUAUGUAAACAAUAUAUCAAGGGCCAGUUUUCUAGGUUGUUAGCUAUAUAAAGGCAAACUGAAAUUGAACAAAUUGUUUAUGACACACACUUUUAUGAAAUUUUCAAAACUUACUUCCAUAAAAUGUGUGCGUGCAUAUGUGUGUGCAUACGUGUGUGCAUAUGUUUGAGUGUAUGCAUUUGCUCACAUAAUAUAACGCCAUUAAUUAUGGAGUACAUCUUUUGUUUUGUAAUAUUAUUAGGGAAUAAAUUAUGUCAAAGUUGUAAAAUGUAAUUUUGAAGUGCAAACUAAGUAGCAGACACUAUACAAUAUUCUAUAUGAGCAAAAAGACAAU